GGCACCCGAAGAAAUGGCUAGUGAUGAGAGAAAAGCUGCGAACAGGCAGAUAAAAGAGAAGGCUCUGUUUGACUGCGAACGUGCAGCAGCUCCGAAAGCAUCGACUGAUCAGUUCAAAUGUGGCCGUUGCGGGCAGCGGAAAACCACCUACUAUCAACUCCAAACCCGUUCAGCUGAUGAACCGAUGACGACAUUCGUGACUUGUGUAAACUGCAACAACCACUGGAAGUUCUGUUAAGCUUUCAACUUGCGGAGCCAGGUAGAGUUGAUGUCUUUUAGUAUCAAUUUAAAUUUAAAUUUAGUGAACUUAGUAUCAUUUAAUCGUGAAUUUGUGGAUGUCUGUGCAUGGAUUAGAACAAUAAUAUGUUUU
rnacentral:misc_RNA from 1 species